CGCCGACCACCCGCGCUCCUUCCGGCACUGCCCGGCACGGCGGCGGCCGCUGGGGGCUCCGGGGGCGGUACCGACUGCGGCCCGCCCCGCUGCGCUGCCCGCCGGGAUAGCAGCGGCGGGAGGGGAAAGAAACGCGAGUAAGGACGGGGAGACUGUGCCCGUGUUGUGCCGAGCCCUUAUCAGCCGUUGGACUUACCGAUAGGAGCCGGGACCACCGCCACGCCGGGCAGAAUUAGCCUAAACUGCGACAGAGUGGCGUCAAGGCAUUCCGCUUCGUGUUCUGUAUCUGUGUGCGCUGAGAGCUCUCCGGCUGUCCUCGCGUUCUGCAGCGAUCUUAGGGACAAAAGGGGUGAUUUUAAAAGAUAAAGGCUGUUGGAGGAGGUCAGAGACCCCCCCCCUCCCCCAUCCAAAGCACCGACAGCGGACCGACACUGCGCUAGAAGGACGCCAGGUGACAUCAAAGACCGCUAAACGAGGCUGUAUGUGCCGGGCAGUCCCUGGGAGUGGAAAGGAUAACGAUUUGGAGAGUGCAAUGGAUAUGUAAUACAUGUGCAAACGUGACCUGUUCGCAAACAGUGAAGUGGGGAAAAGUUUUUGGAGGGUUAACCCCAUGCAACCCAGCACUGCCGGUCAGAAUACCUGCCACGUGGUAACAGCACUUCUGCUGUGAGGUCUCUGCACGUCCAUUUCUUCGAUUCAAGAUGCAGGUGUUACUGCGUCGGCUUCUGCUCUGGAGGGCUGAGCCUUCAGCUCUGUCUGCGUGGUGCAGUGGUUGGAGCUGAUGGAUUGUCUGGUUUUCCCAUCGCUUCCCCGUCGCUUUACCCGCAGAGGGCUGCAUGUGGAGCUUUGCCUUCAGUGGGGAGUUCACACGUGGCUGCCCCACGCAGUGCCGCUCUGAUGCUGGCUCGUAGGGGUGGCACCACGGCUUAUCACCGGUAACAAUGCGAUCCGUGUCACCAUCAGCCUUUAUCAGUCCAGUGGCGCUGACAGACGUCACGCGGUGUUCUUUGUGCUGCUGUAGGAGCGUUGGUGGGACCCACCUGGCGCAGACUUUGCGACCUUCCAGCACUGCCACCAUUGUUUCCGAUGCGUGUUCUGCUCAGUCCUGGUCACGAUGCGCUCAUUCUCGCAGAUGAGGCGCUCCUCAUUUUGUGCUGUGGCAGCUGUGCACGGCCAUCCGGAACGUGCCUUGUCCUCACCGCUGCUGAAACGCACCACAGACUGCACCAGAUGGGCUGCCCUUUCUCCUGAUGAGGUUUGACACCAGUCCUGGCUGCGGGGCAGAGUGGGACCACCACUGAGGGGCCCUCCUCCUCCAGCACAGCGCCGUGCUGCAAGCUGUGGGAGAACAACCAGCUCUUGUUAGGCACCUGCAGGCUGUUGACAUUUAAGCAAUUACAACCAUCCAUAAGGAGGAUCAGACUGCUGUGCUGUAGGGAGACCUGAUCUGAUCUGAGCAGCUUCUGCAUUGCAUCUCCGUGUCUGGGAGCACUGCAGCAGGCGGCCCCCGUGGCACCAGAGUGGUCCAAAUGAACCCAGCGCACAACUGCCCCACAACACAGCUGGAUGCUGCGCGCCUCCCACGGCCAAGGAAGCCCUCGAGCUAAUCUGGAGUUAGAGGAGAAGGGAAGUGCUGGUUCUGAGUGCAGCCCCUGACUCUUCUGCACCGUACUGACUGACACUAGAAGGGGCUGCAAUAACAUAUUUGGGUUUUAAUGGGGCAUUUGACACUGUCUCACAAAGUCUUCUGUGCAAAGCUGAUGAAGACAGGCUACGUGUGAAAGCUAACGGCAGUCUCAGGUGGGGGAAGGCAUCUUCAGCUUCUCCAAACACUGCUGUCAGAUUGAGAUCUGAUUAAUCAGAUCAGAUUAACAUCAUCUUUGGAGCCGGUCUCAGACAGCAGCGUUCAGCUGCAGGCCAUCGCGCCAUGCGCUGCAUAGGUGAGAGCGUCUGAUGAGCUGCAUCCUGCUCCCCGCGGGCAGCAAUCACGCUCAGAACCGAGCUCAUUGAUUUGCUGUAUUCAGUCUCAUCUUCCUCAUCUGGGAUUCAGAAAUUACCACCAGUGGAGACUGGGAACCUCCUCUUCAUUACUCCCGAACUUGAUUUAGUACACAGCACAGAACGUUUCAGCUGGGAAGAUGUCCGAGUUCAACUGCCUGUGUUUCAUCCCCGGUGCAUUCGGCUGAGCCUCUCUUUCCCAUCAGUCGAUUUUGCUCUGCUCCAGACACACAGACACGUGCACGCCAUCCUCGGAGAGAUCUCUGCUCCUAUCUCACACUCGAGUUCUCACUCCAUCUGCCGGAGCGCAUCCUUGCGUUCACUGACAGCUCCUGGCCCUUGUUGGCCAAGCCAGGGUCAUCAAACAGCUCCAGCCCUCACGUUCACCCUCAGAAGCUCCAUCUGCUCUGUCUGAAUGGCAAAAGAACGUACAGUAUUUUCUGAAGAAUCUCUGGAAAAAAAUACCAUUGGUUGGGCCAUGGGUUGUCCUGGAAGGGCCAACGCUUCCACCUCAUGCCGGCCUCCUGAAGCAGCCAUUCUCCACCUCCUGACUGAUGUCAGCUCCUUUCACAUCCCCGCAUGCCCUGAGGCACACAGACUCCAAUCACCACUGCAAGCAGUUCUUAGUUCUUAACGGGAGGUCGUAUCAGACUGCAGGUGAAGUUGCUUCCAUUUCCCUUUGUACUUGGAAGCAAGCACUGAUUAAGAGCCGUGAGGGGUGCUGCCUCCCAAUCAAUGCCUAUAGCUUUUCCCAGUAAGUACUGAAAGAUGGGCCAACCACAGCCACCCUUUUGGGCAGCCUUCUGAUUCCCUCAGGCAAUCUGAUUGUGCUCAGCGCUCUGCAGGACCACAGCAACUUUGAAC
rnacentral:lncRNA from 1 species